AUUGAACGCUGGCGGCAGGCCUAACACAUGCAAGUCGAGCGGCUGCAGGGUGCUUGCUUCUGGCUUCAGCGGCGGACGGGUGAGUGAUGCCUAGGAAUCUGCCUGUCAGCUUGUGAUUAGGUCGUUACACGGGCGCUAAUACUCCAUUAGGCCUGAUGGCGUACGUGGGGGAGCUUCGGACCUUCCGCUCUCAGACGAGCGUAGGUCGGAUUAGCUAGUUGGUUGGCUAAAGGCCUACCAAGGCGACGAUCAGUAACUGGUUUGAGAGGAUGAUCAGUCACACUGGAAUUGAGACACGGUCCAGACUACUACGGGAGGCAGCAGUGGGGAAUAUUGGACAAUGGGCGAAAGCCUGAUCCAGCCAUGCCGCGUGUGUGAAGAAGGACUUCGGAUUGUAAAGCCCUUUAAGUGGGGAGGAAGGGCAGUAGGUUAAUACCUUGCUGUUUUGACGGUACCCACAGAAUAAGCACCGGCUAACUUCGUG
rnacentral:rRNA from 1 species